UUCGAGACUAGAGUCACUCCGCA
rnacentral:miRNA from 1 species